rnacentral:rRNA from 1 species
UUGACGGGUCCCCGCACAAGCGGCGGAGCAUGCGGCUUAAUUCGAUGCAACCCGAAGAACCUUACCUGGGCUUGACAUCAUGGGAAAAGCCGUAGAGAUACGGUGUGCAUUAGCGUCCAUGACAGGUGGUGCAUGGCUGUCGUCAGCUCGUGUCGUGAGAUGUUGGGUUAAGUCCCGCAACGAGCGCAACCCUUGUCCUAUGUUGCCAGCGGUUCGGCCGGGGACUCAUAGGAGACUGCCGGGGACAACUCGGAGGAAGGUGAGGACGACGUCAAGUCAUCAUGCCCCUUAUGUCCAGGGCUGCACGCAUGCUACAAUGGCCGGUACAACGGGCUGCGAUCCCGCGAGGGUGAGCGAAUCCCUUAAAGCCGGCCUCAGUUCGGAUUGGAGUCUGCAACUCGACUCCAUGAAGUCGGAGUCGCUAGUAAUCGCGGAUCAGCAAAGCCGCGGUGAAUGCGUUCUCGGGGAUU